rnacentral:rRNA from 1 species
UAGGGAAUCUUCGGCAAUGGGGGGAACCCUGACCGAGCAACGCCGCGUGAGUGAAGAAGGUUUUCGGAUCGUAAAGCUCUGUUGUUAAGGAAGAACGAGUGUGAGAAUGGAAAGUUCAUGCUGUGACGGUACUUAACCAGAAAGGGACGGCUAACUACGUGCCAGCAGCCGCGGUAAUACGUAGGUCCCGAGCGUUGUCCGGAUUUAUUGGGCGUAAAGCGAGCGCAGGCGGUUAGAAAAGUCUGAAGUGAAAGGCAGUGGCUCAACCAUUGUAGGCUUUGGAAACUGGUUAACUGGAGUGCAGAAGGGGAGGGUGGAAUUCCAUGUGUAGCGGUGAAAUGCGUAGAUAUAUGGAGGAACACCGGUGGCGAAAGCGGCUCUCUGGUCCGUAACUGACGCUGAGGCUCGAAAGCGUGGGGAGCGAACAGG